CUGAAAGUUCAUUCAAGCUAACAAUCGAAAAUGUCAACAGUAUAAGUAACAUUCCUAAGGUAAAGAUUGAUGUCGAUAGGACCAAAAUAGAUUUUGUCAUCGAUACUGGAUCAUCAGUCAACAUUAUCAGCACAAAAACCGUAAAGCAACUCCUUAAACAGCAACUUAAACAUGUCACAACUUGUGUUUUACUUCACAACUCGCGUCAACAACUAGAACUCGUUGGUAAAUUUCAAGCAACUUUAACAUAUAACAAAACAAAAAUAGAAGUUGACAUACUAGUAGUAAGAGGAUCAGCUGAAUCCGUACUUAGUUUUGAAACAUCGAAACAACUAAGUCUAAUCCAAAUGUCACUCAGUAACAACGUUAGACUAUCAGCAAAUGACGUUCAAAAGAAGUACCUAAACUUAUUUCGAGGAAUUGGAAACCUCAAAGGAACAACAGUCAAGUUACACAUUAAUACAAAUGUACCCCCUGUAGCCAACAAACACAGACGCUUUUCUUUUCACCUUCGAGCAAAAGUGGAAGAGGAGAUCCAACGACUUGAACAACAAGGCAUUGUAGAAAAAGCAAUUGGCGAAACACUCUGGAUAUCACCCAUUGUCAUCGUUUCAAGAAAAAAUCAAGACAAAAUGCGAAUUUGUGUUGACAUGAGAGAAGCCAACAAGGCAAUCAAAAGAGAACGUCACCCAACACCUUCAAUUGAUGAAAUUAUCUCAACAUUAAACGGUGCCACCGUUUUUUCGAAAAUUGAUUUGAAUGACGCUUAUCAUCAAUUAACACUAGAUGAAAACUCAUGUUACAUAACGGUAUUUUCCACCCACAUAAGUUUAUAUCGCUACAAACGGUUAAAUUUUGGCAUAAACUCAGCAGCCGAAAUAUUUCAAAACACAAUUAGUCAACUACUGUCGGACAUCAGUGGAAUACUAAACUUCAGCGACGACAUCUUAAUUUUCGGAAAGAGUCAGGCACAACACGAUAAAACGCUAAAUCAAGUUUUAAAUCGCUUAAGCUCUAAGAAUUUAACAGUCAAUCCGAAGAAAUGUACCUUCAACACUAACAGAAUAAAAUUCAUUGGUUACAUUUCUAGCCGAUGGUAUACACCCAGACCCGUAAAAAGUGCAAUGUGUCAUGAAUUUAGAACCCCCAAAAGAUCAACAUGAACUACGAAGUUUCCUAGGAACUCUCAACUACGUUGGAAAAUUCUUACCAAACUUAGCUAACAACACCGAAAUUUUACAAAAAUUAAUAACAAAGAAACAGUCUUGGAUAUGGACCAACGAGCAUCAAAGUGCCUUCGACUUUCUGAAACAACAAAUGAAUUGCGAUGACAAACUAGCAUACUAUGACGACCAAACCAACACAUUUAAUUGUAGACGCCAGCCCCUACGGCCUAGGUGCCAUUCUGUCUCAAGGUUCCAACGAUAACUUCAACACUGUAGCAUUCGCAAGGAAGACCCUUACUGACGUCGAACAAAGAUACAGCCAGAUUGAACGAGAAACAUUAACAGCAACUUGGGCAAUUCAACACUUUAGACUCUAUCUAUUAGGAACACGUUUCACCUUACACACAUAUCAUAAACCGUUGGUUUCUUAAACAAUCCAAAAACAUACCCAAGUGCUCGAAUAGAGCGAAUGUGCAUAAAACUUCAAGAAUUUAGCUUCUUCAAUAAGCACCAAAAUGGACAGUCUAAUCCGUCUGACUAUUUAUCACGAUAUUUACCAAUACUAAAGGACUAUCACAUCAAGAAACAAACUUGAGGAAUACAUCAACUUUACUACGGUGUAAACAGCAUACCAAAGUUAAUCUCCAUUACUGAAAUUCAAAAUGAAACCAACAAAGACAAUACCUUGAAUGCACUAAGUAUGGCGAUUAAAAACAACGACUACAAAUUAUGGGAAGCACCAGAAUUACGACCAUUCAAAAAUAGCAGAAACGAAAUCACGGAAUAUAAUGGAAUCCAUUUAAGAACAAAUCAAAUAAUUAUUCCAGCCUCUCUACAACAACGAGUGAUCGAACUAGCCCACAAAGAACACCAAGGAAUUGUACGAACAAAACACUUGCUUCGAACUAAAAUGUGGUUUCCACAUAUUAACAACAUGGUUGAAGAAUAUAUGAAGACUCGUUCAGCAUGUCAAGUCACAACAACACACAUAAAACGAAAUCCAAUCACAACAACAACGCAAGCUACGUACCCAUUUGAAAAAGUUGAUGUGGACUAUGCAGGUCCUUUCCCAAAUGGUAAAUAUUGUUUUCUUCUGAUCGAUGAACAUUCCCAAUUUCCAAUAAUUGAAAUCGUUCCCUCAACUAGUUUCCACCGUCUAAAACCCAUACUAGACAAAUCAUUCGCUCUGUUUGGCAUCGUCAAACAACUGCAAUCAGACAAUGGCCCACCAUUCAACAAUCACGACAUAGCAGAUUACUGUCAGCAAAUGAACAUAAAACACAAAAAGGUAACCCCUUAUUGGCCUGAAGUCAGUGGAAGACCUGAACGAUUUGUGAAAACAGUGAAGAAAUCACCUAUAUGCUCAGUAGCAGAAACCAACGAUAUGUCACAACAACUUCAACAGUUUCUAACAAACUAUAGAAGCACUCCACAUCCAACAACAAACAUGACACCUUAUUAUUUAAUUAUUCAACGAGAAAUUCAAACUUAUUUGCCGACAAUAAUUUACCCUAAACGCAACAAAAUUUCAUACGAUCCCGAGUACGAACGAAAACGACGAGAGAAAAUUAACGCAAAGAUCAACAAAAAACGAUGAACAAAAUUUCACAGCUGUAAAAUCAACGACAUAGUCUUAUGCAAACAAGCAAAGAAGAAUGCUCUAUCACCAAAAUAUGACCCGAAACCCUUCUGGAUAGUCCAGAUAAUUGGAUCGCAAAUACACGCAAAAAGAGGAAACCAAAUAGUAGUUCGGAAUUCAUUAUUUUUCAAACACCUUUAUUCAAAACCUGCUAUUUCUGAGAAAAAAAAAGAAAAUAGCAUUACCCAAUUUUGUCGUAAUCCCAAACCUAUUGUCUACGAUAACAUCCCCGUUCCCAAACAUCCUCCAAUCGCUGUCCCUCUUGCACAAACUCAACCUACUGAGGUUCAACAAAGAACACCGUUAACUUCGCCUCAAACUACAAGCUUGAAAAUACCUUCAAGGCAAACAGCAAUUUCGCCAUCGACACCAGCAACGCCGACAACAUCGCGUACUCCAUUUCCACACUUAGAUGGGAUGGACAACAAUGUGCAACCGUCCCACAAUGAUGACCCACCCCAACUCCAGAGACGCUCAACGCGGUAAAGAAGACCCCAAAGACACCUUGAACAGUACACAGUGCACAGUUGACCAGUGAGUGCCGGUGAAUUUGUCCAUUUCGAGUGUUUUGUUCAUUUCGAGUAAAUAACCUUUAUUUUCAUGUUUUUUAUGUUCAUUUGUUGUAACUUCAGGAGAGAUGUAGUGUCCUGUAAUGUUCUUAGAUAAUAAAUAACAGAUGGCGCAAAAGAUUGAACAGUUAGAGACUCGAGAAGACGCAGCAAACAUGGCGGACUGCUAUCUCUGAUGUUUGUUAAUAAAGAAUUUAAGUUAAGUUAACCGUGAGUUUCAUUAACAUCAGCCCAACAAGAAUACAACAACACUGUGCAAGAAAACACAUUUAUUGUCAAAGCUUAUUUCCGAAUUGAAGAUUUAAUAAAUGAAGAACGAUGGGAAAUUCACAGACGACUAGAUGAGAAUCAUUUAAAAACACAUUGAUAUAUCGUAUGCAAUAAUACAAGUUAAUAGGAAGGAAAUUUUUUAUUUCACGAUUAACUAGUAAAUAUCAGUUUAUGUUAACCAAUAAUCAGCAACAACUUUGUAAAAUUCUUAACGCAGAAUUUCACCAAAAUGUUCCGACAUUCCUCUUGGUGCUAUAGCAGAAUUCUUCAUGCUCUUUUCACAGUACACCAACGCUAAGCCCAUAAUAUUUGAAAUUUAAUUUUUUUAUCGUCCAAUAACGUUUACAUUCCAUACAUAAUUUUAUUCAAAUGUCGUAAAAUGAAGCAAUAGGAAGGAGGUUAGAAUAAAGUGAAAUAUAGAUAUUUUUAUUUAUGGCAUUAAUUACAUUGUCAACAAUAAUUCAAAUCACAAGUCAGGAAGUUCUUUCGUCAGGCCGUUCCAGCGGAUAGACCAAUCAGCUCAGAUUUCAUUCUGUAAUGAAGUAUAAAGGGUUGUUGAGUAUUUAUGUCAAUAAUUACAAGACUUAACAUUAAAGGUAAAUUAACAUUUAACUUAAGAACCAUGUAUGGCCAGAUUUCUCUCACUGAACUGUAUAAAUCGUGCAAUGGUUAGCCCGCUAAACCCCACUUGGUUAGCCUCCACGCCGACCUGAUCUUGCAGCUCCUUCGAUACUCAAUCGUGCAAUAGAGUGGAAUCCACCAUCCCUUGUCUCCCUAAUCUUGAUCUUCGGAUGGCAGUCAUACCGUGACGUUGGUAGCUUAACUACCCUAACUGACUCCACCCGAGACAUACCUCAUUACAACCAGAUCGUGCAAUAGAUUGGAAUCCACCAACCUGACCCUGGCCUAAUGAUAACUCUACCAGAUUGUGCAAUAGGGGUUGGACGUAAUCAUCCCUAAUCCUGGUUUAUGAUAACACAUGAUCAGAGUGCAUGGCAUAUUACAAGUUCUAGUUUUGUUAGAAUUAAUAACAAUAAUCAACUAAUCAAUCGACCUUACAUUCUCUGAGAGAAUAACACUCACCGCUUUAACUAAUAUUGUUUAUAAAUACUCGUAAAAUUUACGCCUUCUGCUUUUCGUUCGUCAGGAUUGAAGUUCGUUAAAUUUGUUUAUUAGAAUUUUUAUAUAGUUACGCGCAAACUAGUGUGAUUCACAAACACAAACACAUCAUUGGUU